rnacentral:pre_miRNA from 1 species
AAUAAGAUCAUUUUUUAAUUUUCUGAUAUAAUGUUUUGACUCUUCGUCUUAUUUGAAUUUUUUUGCGAUUAAUAUUUUUAUUCUUACUAGAUGAUAAAAACAUAAAUAGUACUUUAACCGUGACUAUUUUUUUAAUUUUUUGUAUAAAUUUUUCAAAUAAAACAAAUAGUCAAACGUUGGACACGGAAAA